AUCAGUGAUAUUUCGAAAACUGAACCAGGAAUCAAGAAUCAGAACACCAGAAGAAAUUGAAGAAGAUGAAAUAAAACAAAUACACAACAAGGAAUUAGUACACGUUUUCUCUCAAAUUUGUAUGUUCAUUUGGAUGCUACUCCUUUGUUUCUGUGCAGUUAUACGAAUAAGCCUAUUCGGAGGACUGUACUACUUUCUGUUUCUUUCUUUUCUAACGUACUGGGCAAUGAAUAAACGUUUUGGUAGAGCGUGCGCUAAAAUAGUUGGAUGUAUUUCAUCGAUUAUUUUUGUACAUAUAACACUGCUAUAUGCUUACCAAUUUCAGCCUGUUCAGGAUGAAGCCAAUGUUCCUCAUAGACUAAUCAGGAUAUUGCAGGUGCAUCCAUUUAGAAAAACAGCCAGUUGUAAUGAUCCCAGAAUAUUUUUAUGGAUACCUCACCGAGGCAUCACAAAUUUGCUACCAGCUGCCCUUUAUGCGCUCUAUUCGCUCUCAGUUCUCCUAGCACGUCAUAUAUUGAA